CCUACGGGAGGCAGCAGUAGGGAAUUUUCGGCAAUGGGGGGAACCCUGACCGAGCAACGCCGCGUGAAGGAAGAAGGAAUUCGUUCUGUAAACUUCUGUUAUAAAGGAAGAAAGACGGAUGGAGGAAAUGACAUCCGAGUGACGGUACUUUAUGAGAAAGCCACGGCUAACUACGUGCCAGCAGCCGCGGUAAUACGUAGGUGGCAAGCGUUAUCCGGAAUUAGUGGGCGUAAAGAGGGAGCAGGCGGCAGCAAAGGUCUGUGGUGAAAGACUGAAGCUUAACUUCAGUAAGCCAUAGAAACCGGGCAGCGAGAGUGCAGGAGAGGAUCGUGGAAUUCCAUGUGUAGCGGUGAAAUGCGUAGAUAUAAGGAGGAACACCAGUGGCGAAGGCGACGAUCUGGCCUGCAACUGACGCUGAGGCACGAAAGCGUGGGGAUCGAACAGGAUUAGAUACCCGAGUAGUC
rnacentral:rRNA from 1 species